AUUGAACGCUGGCGGCAUGCCUUACACAUGCAAGUCGAACGGCAGCACGGGUGCUUGCACCUGGUGGCGAGUGGCGAACGGGUGAGUAAUACAUCGGAACGUACCUUAUCGUGGGGGAUAACGCAGCGAAAGCUGUGCUAAUACCGCAUACGCCCUGAGGGGGAAAGCGGGGGAUCGCAAGACCUCGCGCGAUUAGAGCGGCCGAUGCCUGAUUAGCUUGUUGGUGGGGUAAAAGCCCACCAAGGCGACGAUCAGUAGCUGGUCUGAGAGGACGAUCAGCCACACUGGGACUGAGACACGGCCCAGACUCCUACGGGAGGCAGCAGUGGGGAAUUUUGGACAAUGGGGGCAACCCUGAUCCAGCAAUGCCGCGUGAGUGAAGAAGGCCUUCGGGUUGUAAAGCUCUUUUGUCAGGGAAGAAACACCGGCUCUAACACAGUCUGGGAAUGACGGUACCUGAAGAAUAAGCACCGGCUAACUACGUGCCAGCCGCCGCCGUAACAC
rnacentral:rRNA from 1 species